UACGUAGGGUGCAAGCGUUAAUCGGAAUUACUGGGCGUAAAGCGUGCGCAGGCGGUUCGCCAAGUCAGGUGUGAAAUCCCCGGGCUUAACCUGGGAAUUGCGCUUGAAACUAGCGGGCUUGAGUGUGGGCAGAGGGGGGGUGGAAUUCCACGUGUAGCAGUGAAAAUGCGUAGAGAUGUGGAGGAACACCCGAUGGCGAAGGCAGCCCCCCUGGGUCAACACUGACGCUCAUGCACGAAAGCGUGGGGGAGCAAACGGGG
rnacentral:rRNA from 1 species